AUUCCGUUCGCCAAUAGGUUUUGUAGUCGUAAGUUUUGUGUUGAAUCCUGAGUUUUUCUGUAAUACUCGUUACUUGUUAGCUUACGAAGCCUGCUGCAUUAACAUGAAAAUUAGACUUGGAUCAUGGUAGGAUAUGCGAAAGCUCUAUCCUGAGUAUCUUUUACCAAGUGUGGGCCGAAGUACCUUGACCUGUGUUUGGAAUGGCUGUGCUGUGGUGUGAAAUCUGGUAACUUGUGACAAAUCAAUUACUGUAUGUGCAAUUGUUUAGGAAAGGCAAUGGCUGCUGCAUGUCCCGUUAAAGCUGUAACUGGCAAUUCCGUGUACAUGUGGGUCCUUUUGAUUCUUCAUUCAUUGUGCGCUUUGAUUGGUACUUUACUUUAAUAGCUGCUCCCCACCACUCAUUCUGUUUUCCAUAUUACAGGUGUUACAUGUGACCGUGCAAGAUAAGUUGAAUUUGCUUUGGCUAUUGGAUUGUAAGGGGGACUUGAGCUAGUCAUGGCGAACACUUAUGCUGCGUACGGAUAUGGCUGCUCUGCAGUUUCUUUGAAAUAGGUGGUCUCAUUUUAGCGACGCCAUGUGAUUUUAGGAUUUACACGGCUGGUUGUGGGUUCAAUGGAUGUUGGAGAUUAUCAAUGAAAUUGGUUACGUAGGAUAGACAGAUUGGGUGACAUUGCUUUGUGCAAAUUGUGCCUCUACAUCAAUCAACAUGUUUCGCGUUUUCUCCUGUACCGCGUUUAUGGCUACGACAAAUUGGUGGAGUUAAUAUAAUCCAUGGUUUCGUCAAAAUGCAAGCUGACAUUUUAAACUUCUGAUUGUUGCAUUCUGGUUAGUCCCAUGGAAUUAAUGUUGCUUGUUAAGCGCAGAUUUUUAUUCCAAGAAUUCGCUACUGGAGUUUUUUCCUCGUGUGUGAACGUCGUCUGCUCGGCCGUCGACGGUGCGUUACUGCUCGUCUGUUUCUGCAUUCUGUUGGGGGCUGCUUUUAGUCAGGUAGGGCAUCUGGAAGUGAUGUGUGCAAGUUUUAAAUGGUUGGCAAAACUUAUAAACCGUGGAGGAAAGGGUUUGAAAAGGUAGUGAGCCUUUUUUUCCUGAACGGUGGUUUGUUCCACAAGUUAACCGGCAGGAAAGGGUGAAAGUCUGAUCCUUAUUAAUGAAGAAGAAGAGUUUAACAUACCGCUAUCAGGAAAUAAGUUUGUAAAUAAUAUAUUAUCUGAUUGAUUAAAAAGGAAGAACUUCGAUUUCAAUUCCAACUCAUCGGAUAUUGCGAAACCCUUCACUGUAAAAUGUUUAUUUCUAAAAUUUAUGAUGAACUGUAUGUAAUUAACAAAUCCAAGGCGUUUGACUGUUAUAUGGUUAUUUUCCAAUCGUCAUCCCGUGGCUGGCCUUUGGUUAGUAACUUUAGUUCUUAUUGCUUAUCCAUUAUUGUCUUCCACGAAUUCAAUAGCAGGUUCGUUAAUUUUAGUGAAAAUAGGUUUCAGCAUUUUAGUAUUCUACUUUAAUGGAUAUAAAUUGCAUCACUUACUAAACAAGUAAAUAACGUUAAAAAUGCUUUUCGAUGGCUGACUAAAACGAUGUUAAACGAAGUAAAUCAUGUUUUGGUGUAAUACUAAAAUUCAUUUGCUGCCAUCAAACGGUAAGACAUAAUAGAAAAUCUAUGUAAACGAACAAAUUGUUACAACAGU